CAAUGUUUUAGGUGCUCCGCGAGAGCGGAGAGAAUAGGGAAUCAGGUGAAAGUCCUGAACGAACCCAUCACUGUAAACCGCGAAGGACGGCAAAAAUGUCACUGACGUCAGCAUAUCGGCGUUGGGAAGGCGCUGUCCGGCAGCCAUGCGCGCGGCGAGUCAGGAGACCUGCCUGAAAUAC
rnacentral:ncRNA from 1 species